UCUCUCUACUACAGCAGGUUAAUGUCUCUCUCUUCUACAGCAGGUUAAUGUCUCUCUCUCUUCUACAGCAGGUUAAUGUCUCUCUCUCUUCUACAGCAGGUUAAUGUCUCUCUCUUCUACAGCAGGUUAAUGUCUCUCUCUUCUACAGCAGGUUAAUGUCUCUCUCUCUCUUCUACAGCAGGUUAAUGUCUCUCUCUCUACUAUAGCAGGUUAAUGUCUCUCUCUCUACUAUAGCAGGUUAAUGUCUCUCUCUCUACUACAGCAGGUUAAUGUCUCUCUCUCUCUUCUACAGCAGGUUAAUGUCUCUCUCUCUCUUCUACAGCAGGUUAAUGUCUCUCUCUCUCUUCUACAGCAGGUUAAUGUCUCUCUCUCUCUUCUACAGCAGGUUAAUGUCUCUCUCUCUACUACAGCAGGUUAAUGUCUCUCUCUCUACUAUAGCAGGUUAAUGUCUCUCUCUCUACUAUAGCAGGUUAAUGUCUCUCUCUCUACUACAGCAGGUUAAUGUCUCUCUCUCUACUACAGCAGGUUAAUGUCUCUCUCUCUACUACAGCAGGUUAAUGUCUCUCUCUCUCCUACAGCAGGUUAAUGUCUCUCUCUCUC